GUGGGGAAUAUUGCACAAUGGGGGAAACCCUGAUGCAGCGACGCCGCGUGAGUGAAGAAGUAUCUCGGUAUGUAAAGCUCUAUCAGCAGGGAAGAAAAUGACGGUACCUGACUAAGAAGCCCCGGCUAACUACGUGCCAGCAGCCGCGGUAAUACGUAGGGGGCAAGCGUUAUCCGGAUUUACUGGGUGUAAAGGGAGCGUAGACGGCGGAGCAAGUCUGAAGUGAAAGCCCGGGGCUCAACCCCGGGACUGCUUUGGAAACUGUUCUGCUAGAGUGCUGGAGAGGUAAGUGGAAUUCCUAGUGUAGCGGUGAAAUGCGUAGAUAUUAGGAGGAACACCAGUGGCGAAGGCGGCUUUCUGGACGAUGACUGACGUUGAGGCUCGAAAGCGUGGGGAGCAAACAGGA
rnacentral:rRNA from 1 species